rnacentral:rRNA from 1 species
GACGAACGCUGGCGGCGUGCUUAACACAUGCAAGUCGAACGGACAGGCCCUGCUUUUGUGGGUUGCUCGAGUGCCGAGCGGGUGUGUAACACGUGAGUAACCUGCCCUUGUCUUUGGGAUAACUUCAGGAAACUGGGGCUAAUACCCGAUAUGAGCUCCUGCUGCAUGGUGUGGGUUGGAAAGUUUCGGCGGUUGGGGAUGGACUCGCGGCUUAUCAGCUUGUUUGUGGGGUAGUGGCUUACCAAGGCUUUGACGGGUAGCCGGCAUGAGAGGGUUACCGGCGACAAUGGGACUGAGGUACGGACCAGAAGCCAACGGGAGGCAGCAGGGGGGAGUAUUGCACAAUGGGGGGAAGCGUGAUGCAGAAACGCCGCGUGCGGGAUAACGGCCUUCGGGUUGUAAACAGAUUUGGAAUGUGACGAAGCGUGAGUGACGGUAAUGGGUAAAGAAGCACCGGCUAACUACGUG